UGCCGAAUAGCUCACUCGGUAAAGCAUCGCACUGCGAAGCAAAAGUGACUAUCACGUAGCGGGUUCGAGCCCCGCUUCGUAC